rnacentral:sRNA from 1 species
CCCAGGGCUGCCGCCCUGGGCUAUACUCUGCCAGCCCUUCGGUCUU